rnacentral:rRNA from 1 species
AAGCUCGUAGUUGAAUUUCGAGACCGGUUUACUGGUCGUGCUUUUGUACGUACUGGUAUUAUUGGUUUCUCCUUUCUGACGAAUCAUAAUGCCAUUAAUUUGGUGUUUUGGGGAAUCAGGACUGUUACUUUGAAAAAAUUAGAGUGUUUAAAGCAGGCUCACGCUUGAAUACAUUAGCAUGGAAUAACGAAAUAGGACGUUUGAUUUUAUUUUGUUGGUUUCUAGGAUCGACGUAAUGAUUAAUGGGAUAGUUGGG